rnacentral:rRNA from 1 species
UACAGAGGGGGCGAGCGUUGUUCGGAAUCACUGGGUGUAAAGGGUGCGUAGGCGGUCAGUUAAGUCUGAUGUGAAAGCCCUCGGCUCAACUGGGGAAUUGCAUUGGAAACUAGCUGGCUGGAGUACUGGAGAGGGAAGCGGAAUUCCUGGUGUAGCGGUGAAAUGCGUAGAUACCAGGAGGAACACCGGUGGCCGAAGGCGGCU